CCUGGCUCAAGAUGAACGCUGGCUACAGGCUUAACACAUGCAAGUCGAGGGGAAAACGACGGGGAAGCUUCGCUUCCCCGGGCGUCGACCGGCGCACGGGUGAGUAACGCGUAUCCAACCUGCCUCUGACUGAGGGAUAACCCGUCGAAAGUCGGCCUAAUACCUCAUGGCAUCGUCUGCGGGCAUCCAACGACGAUUAAAGAUUUCAUCGGUCAGGGAUGGGGAUGCGUCUGAUUAGUUAGUUGGCGGGGUAACGGCCCACCAAGGCUACGAUCAGUAGGGGUUCUGAGAGGAAGGUCCCCCACAUUGGAACUGAGACACGGUCCAAACUCCUACGGGAGGCAGCAGUGAGGAAUAUUGGUCAAUGGGCGGGAGCCUGAACCAGCCAAGUAGCGUGCAGGAUGACGGCCCUAUGGGUUGUAAACUGCUUUUAUGCGGGGAUAAAGUGAGGGACGUGUCCUUCAUUGCAGGUACCGCAUGAAUAAGGACCGGCUAAUUCCGUGCCAGCAGCCGCGGUAAUACGGAAGGUCCGGGCGUUAUCCGGAUUUAUUGGGUUUAAAGGGAGCGUAGGCCGUGGAUUAAGCGUGUUGCGAAAUGCAGGUGCUCAACGUCUGCACUGCAGCGCGAACUGGUUCACUUGAGUGUGCGCAACGCAGGCGGAAUUCGUCGUGUAGCGGUGAAAUGCUUAGAUAUGACGAAGAACUCCGAUUGCGAAGGCAGCUUGCGGGAGCACAACUGACGCUGAAGCUCGAAAGUGCGGGUAUCGAACAGGAUUAGAUACCCUGGUAGUCCGCACGGUAAACGAUGGAUGCCCGUUGUCAGGCUGUUUCAGCCUGGUGACCAAGCGAAAGCAUUAAGCAUCCCACCUGGGGAGUACGCCGGCAACGGUGAAACUCAAAGGAAUUGACGGGGGCCCGCACAAGCGGUGGAGCAUGUGGUUUAAUUCGAUGCAACGCGAAGAACCUUACCUACUCUUGACAUCCAGAGAACAUUCCAGAGAUGGAUUGGUGCCUUCGGGAACUCUGAGACAGGUGCUGCAUGGCUGUCGUCAGCUCGUGUUGUGAAAUGUUGGGUUAAGUCCCGCAACGAGCGCAACCCUUAUCCUUUGUUGCCAGCGAUUCGGUCGGGAACUCAAAGGAGACUGCCGGUGAUAAACCGGAGGAAGGUGGGGAUGACGUCAAGUCAUCAUGGCCCUUACGAGUAGGGCUACACACGUGCUACAAUGGCGUAUACAGAGGGAAGCGAUAGUGCGAGCUGGAGCGAAUCUCACAAAGUACGUCUAAGUCCGGAUUGGAGUCUGCAACUCGACUCCAUGAAGUCGGAAUCGCUAGUAAUCGCAAAUCAGAAUGUUGCGGUGAAUACGUUCCCGGGCCUUGUACACACCGCCCGUC
rnacentral:rRNA from 1 species